rnacentral:tRNA from 1 species
GGACGCAUAGCUCAGCUGGUUAGAGCGCGCCGUUCACAUCGGCGAGGUCCCUGGUUCGAGUCCAGGUGCGUCCACCA